AUUGAACGCUGGCGGCAGGCCUAACACAUGCAAGUCGAGCGAGCGGCGGACGGGUGUGUGAUGUGUGGGAAAAUGCCCGAUGGAGGGGGAUAACUACUGGAAACGGUAGCUCAUACCGCAUACCAUCAGAUGUGCCCAGAUGGGAUUAGCUAGUAGGUGGGGUAAUGGCGCACCUGGGCGACGAUCCCCAGCAGGUCUGAGAGGAUGACCAGCCACACUGGAACUGAGACACGGUCCAGACUCCUACGGGAGGCAGCAGUGGGGAAUAUUGCACAAUGGGCGCAAGCCUGAUGCAGCCAUGCCGCGUGUGUGAAGAAGGCCUUCGGGUUGUAAAGCACUUUCAGCGGGGAGGCGUUACCCGCAGAAGAAGCACCGGCUAACUCCGUGCCAGCAGCCGCGGUAAUAC
rnacentral:rRNA from 1 species